rnacentral:rRNA from 1 species
UACGUAGGGUGCAAGCGUUGUCCGGAAUUAUUGGGCGUAAAGAGCCCGUAGGCGGCCUCGCGCGCCCGACGUGAAAGCCCCCGGCUUAACCGGGGGAGGGUCGUUUGGGGACGGCGGGGCUUGAGGGCGGGAGAGGUCGGUGGAAUUCCCGGUGUAGUGGUGAAAUGCGUAGAGAUCGGGAGGAACACCUGUGGCGAAGGCGGCCGACUGGGCCGACCCUGACGCUGAGGCGCGAAGGCGUGGGGAGCGAACGGG